rnacentral:tRNA from 1 species
GCGAAAGUGGCGGAACUGGUAGACGCACCAGAUUUAGGUUCUGGCGGGUUGCCCCGUGAGGGUUCGAGUCCCUCCUUUCGCACCA